GACCGCCGCCGUGUCCGCACGUCGGCCAAGGCCAUACGGACAGCCGGGUCGAAUGCCG
rnacentral:sRNA from 1 species